GCCACUGCUUGCAUCUGCUGCUGGUGCCCAGCGCCGGUCCCGAUCGCUUGGUGCUGUCAGUGGGUGCGAGCGGCAACUG
ncrna:Eptesicus fuscus (big brown bat) microRNA efu-mir-9198b precursor (efu-mir-9198b-4)